rnacentral:rRNA from 1 species
AUUGAACGCUGGCGGCAUGCCUUACACAUGCAAGUCGAACGGCAGCGGACCUUCGGGUGCCGGCGAGUGGCGAACGGGUGAGUAAUGCAUCGGAACGUGCCAUUGAGUGGGGGAUAACGUAGCGAAAGUUACGCUAAUACCGCAUAUUCUGUGAGCAGGAAAGCAGGGGACCGCAAGGCCUUGCGCUCUUUGAGCGGCCGAUGUCAGAUUAGCUAGUUGGUGAGGUAAAGGCUUACCAAGGCGACGAUCUGUAGCGGGUCUGAGAGGAUGAUCCGCCACACUGGAACUGAGACACGGUCCAGACUCCUACGGGAGGCAGCAGUGGGGAAUAUUGGACAAUGGGCGAAAGCCUGAUCCAGCAAUGCCGCGUGAGUGAUGAAGGCCUUAGGGUUGUAAAGCUCUUUUACCUAGGGAUGAUAAUGACAGUACCUGGAGAAUAAGCUCCGGCUAACUCCGUGCCAGCAGCCGCGGUAAUG